ACGAACUUACACGUACUGCUGGUUCAGUUGCGAGAAGAGCACACUAGCGAACGAACGAAACAGGCCGGCGUCAGAAAUGAAGGGCGCGCCUUCUGGCUCCUCCUCGAUCGCGUGCCCGGCGAUCUUCGCGGCCCUACUCAUCAUCCUUUCCGCCGCCCACGUUGAGCCUGUCGAGGCAGGGUCGAGGCGGGUGCUCUCACCUCCAUCUCCACACCCACACUCACCCAUAAGGCCCGGCAAACCUCCAUCGGCACCUCCACAUCUACCCGGAAGAUCCAGCAUACCUCCGGCGGCGUUCAACAACUUGCCUCUUGCACGGAGGGAGCCGGUUCCUCCUAUAUAACUCUCCUCUGAUCUGGCCCCUAACAUUAGGGUCAGAGAGAAGUCAUGUCAGCCAAAAUCCUAAUAUGUCUUGUAAAAAGAUAUAAAGAAAUUUUUUGUAUUUUUUCCCUAACAAUUCUUCCUUGCUAGCUAUAUAUUCACGAUAUCAGUUUGCACUAA